ensembl:lncRNA
GUUAGGGUAAAAGGAGAGCAAAGGACUCACUCUGCUCUAAUGCAAGCCUUUGCCUGCACAUGGUGUUUAUGUUCGACCUGCAAACCCUGUAUCAUUCAGAUCUCCCAUACUUGAUAAGACUUUUUCCCUGUAAGAUACAAUCACCUAUGUAAUGGACUCAGGACUAUGCAGAUCAUUGCAUCCAUGAACUUCCUACAGUCUCAAGGAACUUAUGUAUUUAAUUUUUUAUGCCUGCUGUGAACAUUUCUAUUUUUAGGGUUAAAAAAAAAAAAAAGAAAGAAGACACAUAACAGAGUUGGAAUGAGCACAACAGAUUUACUUGUUCAAACACACAAUGGUGGAAUUUCUCAUUCACCUGAGGCACAUAGCUGGUUUUUGUCUGGUUUGACUUCUUUUGCUCCUUAAGGCUUGCACCAAUACUUCUGCAACUGCUCCUCUUGGUUUUAUAGAAAUGGGCAUAGAAUAAAGCCCAAAAGUUAAUCCUCACAGCUGCUGGCUGCAAUUUUAGUUGUAUGUCAAUAAAAGAAACAAGAUCCUAGGACAUGCAAGGCUGCUGCCCUGAGGCAAAAUAUAAAGGUAUUCUCCCUGAGAUGACUACUGAUAUCUAAAAACCCAGAUAGGCAGGCACUCUGGUGGCAUCUAGUGCAGAAGUGAAACACUCAGAUGGAGAAACCAAUGAGCAGGCUUAAACAUGCCCAAUCUACAGUCACCCCAUACAGUAUUUGGAGUGCUGCUGGUAACAACAGACUCGCCAGGAAGUUGAAAUCAUUGCAAAUGUUGUAUUUUAUGUUGUGAAAAAACCUGUUCAAAACACCUCUGUUGAGUGACAGGAUUGCAGCCUAGAAGCUGCAGAUGAGGCAAGAGGGACAGCAGGGCUCCCUCUCCUCUUACACAGUGCCAGCCUGCUGUAGCAGCCUUGUUCAGGGGUUACCCCUGCCCACGUAUCUUGUGAGGAACCGCUGGGGAGGCUCCUGGGAAGGGCCACAGCAGAGGCACAGUGGGAUGGAGACAAAAUGCAGCUCUGGGGAGCCAGCUGUAAUGCCACUGGAACUUUCUGGGAUUAAUCAUCUGGAAGGGAGUGAUUUUGUUUCCUUGUAUUUGAGGCCAUAUUUGCAUGGAGAUGUAAAUACUGUUUCAGUCUUCAGUACAAAUAAGCUGCCUGGACAAAAAGCUGCACCUUCUGCCCACAGAAUUUAUCUUCAUUUUCAAAAGUGGUAACUUUCAUGUAUAGAAAUCUGGCUUCUCCUCUGUAAACUCCGAGCAUGCACUUGAACAGCUUCAUUUAACUGGGAUUUUCCAAACCAUCCAUUCUAAAGCCAAGAGGACCCCAAAAUUUCCACCUGCAUAUGAUCCCCUACAGGUUAUACCUCUUUAUGAUGAACUUUUUGGUUUUUUUAUUUUCCCAGCUGGAGAAAGGGAAACAAUCAGGAACAUGGAUUGUUCAACAAUCAGUGAUAGCUACUGUCACUGAAUAUUGAACAAAUCUGGCAUAAAUUGCUAUGCUAAUCAGUGUUUUAAAUUCCAAAACUUUAAACAAGGGUGCCAGAAAAAAAACUUUUAGUUUUUUAGUUUCAAAGUUUGCUCUUUAAAAACAUGACUUUAAAAGUCCUGUUUUGCAAAUAUGUCUAUGCAUUAGUAAUCUUGGAAUGUAUCCAGACAGCUUUGGACUCUAUCCCACAAAGUAAUACAGACGCCCAAGUGCAACAUCAAAGCAACAAGUUUAAGGAAAGUAUAUUUAAGAGCUUCUAAUUAUAUAACAAGAUAAUUAACAUAUAUAAUUCAGAGCAAUCAAGGGGCUUUAUUAAAUAUGUUUGCAGAGAGCACCUGUCUCACCCUUUUUCUAAAAUGAGAUAAUGAACUUUGCCCUAGCAGAAAAAAAAAUUACAUUUUGGUGUAACCCUGCAAAUGCUUGCGACUGUGCUAGAACUGUUCUAAGUCUGUGCCAGUUGACAAAAUGAGUUUCUAAGACUCCCUGAGCUGCUGCAAACAUGUAAUGGGGCAUCUCAGAAGACAAAAGGGGUCCAGGCAGGAAGGGGGCCAGCCCCCCGUGUGAAUGCUGACCUGCAGUGCCGUGUGCAGGUGCAGGAAGGCACACAGGCAAUGUGCAUCUCAUGUGGGAGGGAGCACCUGGGCCAGGUAGGCCAGCCAGACUGCAGUCACUGCCCACGCUACCUGGCUCUGAUGCUUGUGGCAUCAAACAUCAUGGUGUGGAAGAGGUUCUCUUCCCCUGCUCGCUGGGACAGUUCAAGCAUUUGCUAGCACUGUGUGUGCCAAAGCAGGGGUGCCAAGAGUGAACUCCCAGGCUUGCUCUUCCACAGCUUGGUUGUGAACUAGCGAGUUCCAAACUGGAUGCCACAGCAAGUAGAAAACAUGAGCUUAAGCAGGAAAUUCAAGGCCUGAUCAGCUUUACUCUAAAGGGCUGGUAUAGGCACUUCCAGACUUCACAACUUCCAUCAUGCUGCUUCCUUCUGGUCUGAAAUUGGAUCUCUGUUUCCUGAUAGACCCACAACAAGAUCACAGAGAGCGGAGGUGGUAUAGGCCAUGAGACAAAAUGUUUAGCCCAUCUUAUUUAAUCCUUUACAAGGUUCAUCUCUAAGGUGCUUUGAUUUUCCCUUUGUAUCUUGGAGGCUGCAGAGGUGAUAGCCUGUCUUUACUUGACACAGCCAGUACCAUAGGGCAGAUUCCUUCCAAAGACCUGUCUUGGGCUGCAGCUUAGACCUCAGGACAAGCUCAGGUGUUCAUUACAGCCUGUUCUCCUGGUUCAGGGGGAAAAACCAACCCAAACCCAAAGCCUCAAGCUGAAAUCAAAUCCCCAGUCACCUGCCUCUUCAACGGGAGAUUAGUCAUCUUCUCUGCAGAAGGAAUUCACAGUGUGUCUCUACCAUCAGAUACUUUCUCAUGAGUGAUAGAUUGACAUUCAUGGGAAGCAUUUGUCUGAAUGUCCAUACAAAAUAUAAAGCUCAUAUAAAGCAGGUGGGAUAAUGUUGUGAGGGGAAGUCUUGGGCAGAAAGAAGGACCCAGGACUUUCCAUCUAAGACAUGCCCUCAGUGUAGACCUGAAGAUUUAACAUAAAUAUGCUGGAUCAGAGAUCUGUGCUCAAGCUACUGCUCCACCCUGCUCCUUUGUGCAGAAACUGCCGUACUCACAUGGCAAUUUCUCUGCUUCUGUCUUCUCUGGAAGAUUCUGCCUUUGUACAGCCACUUCUGUUUUUAUGUGAGCCAGAAUCAGAAACCUGAUUCCUCUUAUUCCAGUCAGAUACCAGUACUAUCAGCUAUUCCAACACUCUCUCUCUGGUUUUAAGCAGAAAUUGCUGCCUGCUGAAGAUCGCUUCUCCAGAUAUUUGUUCAAAAGUGUCACCAAAACUGAAUUUUGACUAUGUGGAUUUUUCUGAUGAUGCAUAUUCAUCCUAAAAUAAUCACAUCUAGAUAAUUUCAAUUCCUCGAGAGUUAAACCUCAUGAUUUAACUGGGCACAACCACUGCUGUAUUUAUUCAACAAUUGUGAAAAUUUAUUCCUGUGAGAAAAAAGACAUAAAUGCCAAUGUUUUCAAACUUAAACCUCUGAGAGCUAAAUUAAUUUCCACGGAUAAUUACACAUGUGAAUUGAGAGAAAACAAUAUGCAUGGCCUGACUCAGAAGAACAGCAAUGAAACUAUACGUCCCUCAAUUAUGUAUAUUACAAUAUAUAUAUAUUGUAUAUAUAUAUAAUAUACAAUGAACUUGUAAAUUAUUUCUGUAAACAGAAAAUCAGAAAUUAAAUAGGCUCCUUCUUGGCGUGGCAAUUAAGGCUCUUGGUUACCAUGCAAGAUGGUGUUAUAAUAAAGGUUUGUUAAGAGGCCUAUUUUUGUUUCCU